rnacentral:rRNA from 1 species
CCUACGGGGGGCUGCAGUGAGGAAUAUUGGUCAAUGGACGAGAGUCUGAACCAGCCAAGUAGCGUGAAGGAUGACUGCCCUAUGGGUUGUAAACUUCUUUUAUAUGGGAAUAAAAUGUUCCACGUGUGGGAUUUUGUAUGUACCAUAUGAAUAAGGCUCGGCUAACUCCGUGCCAGCCGCCGCGGUAAUACGGAGGAUCCGAGCGUUAUCCGGAUUUAUUGGGUUUAAAGGGAGCGUAGGUGGAUUGUUAAGUCAGUUGUGAAAGUUUGCGGCUCAACCGUAAAAUUGCAGUUGAAACUGGCAGUCUUGAGUACAGUAGAGGUGGGCGGAAUUCGUGGUGUAGCGGUGAAAUGCUUAGAGAUCACGAAGAACUCCGAUUGCGAAGGCAGCUCACUGGACUGCAACUGACACUGAUGCUCGAAAGUGUGGGGAGCAAACAGGAUUAGAUACCCUGGUAGUC